rnacentral:rRNA from 1 species
CCUACGGGAGGCAGCAGUAGGGAAUCUUCCACAAUGGGCGAAAGCCUGAUGGAGCAACGCCGCGUGGGUGAAGAAGGUCUUCGGAUCGUAAAACCCUGUUGUUAGAGAAGAAAGUGCGUGAGAGGAACUGUGCACGUGUCGACGGUAUCUAACCAGAAAGCCACGGCUAACUACGUGCCAGCAGCCGCGGUAAUACGUAGGGGGCAAGCGUUAUCCGGAGUUAUUGGGCGUAAAGGGGACGCAGGCGGUCUUUUAAGUCUGAUGUGAAAGCCUUGGGCGUAACCGGGGUAGUGCAUUGGAAACUGGGUGACUUGAGGGCAGAAGAGGAGAGUGGAACUCCAUGUGUAGCGGUGAAAUGCGUAGAUAUAUGGAAGAACACCAGUGGCGAAAGCGGCUCUCUGGUCUGUAACUGACGCUGAGGUUCGAAAGCGUGGGUAGCAAACAGGAUUAGAUACCCCAGUAGUC